AACGAACGCUGGCGGCAGGCUUAACACAUGCAAGUCGAACGGGUGUAGCAAUACAUCAGUGGCAGACGGGUGAGUAACACGUGGGAACCUUCCUAGGGGUACGGAACAACUCAGGGAAACUUGAGCUAAUACCGUAUACGUCCGUAAGGAGAAAGAUUCAUCGCCCCUAGACGGGCCCGCGUCGGAUUAGGUAGUUGGUGGGGUAACGGCCUACCAAGCCUACGAUCCGUAGCUGAUCUGAGAGGAUGAUCAGCCACACUGGGACUGAGACACGGCCCAGACUCCUACGGGAGGCAGCAGUGGGGAAUCUUGGACAAUGGGCGCAAGCCUGAUCCAGCCAUGCCGCGUGAGUGAAGAAGGCCUUAGGGUUGUAAAGCUC
rnacentral:rRNA from 1 species